UGAAUUGUAACAUCCUGUUUAGUAUGAGAGGAACCACAGGUUCAGACAAUUGGUAUGUGCGCCUGGUCGAAAGGCCAAUGGUGCGAAGCUACCAUCUAAGGGAUUAAGACUGAACGCCUCUAAGUCUGAAUCCCCGUCCAUAUUUGCAACAGUACAUUCCGUAUCCGACACGUGGUUGGGCAAACUCACACAUUCCUGAACUGAACCAUAUGUUCGACUAGGCCCAUUAGGUCUGGUGUUACGCCACAGCGAUGACCAUAAACUUUGCUCGGGAUUUCGGGGUGUAGGGAUCGACAAGAUAUCUAAUUGUGGUAUGAGCGUGAGGAUACUAUGUCGUUUGUAGACAACUUAAUGUUUUGUCGAGGAGACGUAAGUGCUCGAGCAGCUAUUACACUGCCAGGCAUUGAGUCCUAUCGCUGCUUGAACAU
rnacentral:ncRNA from 1 species